CUAUAAUAUAAGAAAGAAAACUGUGCUGGAUUAUACAACUUAACCCUUGCUUUAUUUGGUGACAAAUCUCACUUAUGGGGGCAAAUUAGGUCCAAAGUAACCAUUUGUCAGACAAUUAGAUGGUAUUAGUUACAUAAUUGGUACCUUUUGUGCCAUUCAUUGGCUGUCUCCAUUAUUUUAUAUUAUUCAACCCAUAAACCGGUUGCAUAUGGACGAGAAAAAGUAGAAAAGUUUCCUCUGCAAAACAGCAACAGCAGUCAUGGUCUUCCCAAUGAAUACACUGUUUGCAGGUAUCAUUCUUUCUUUCCUUCUCUUUCUUUCUCGUCCUUUCCUUCACUUUCUCUCUUCUUCCUCCUUCUCCCUCUUCUUCUUCCUUCUUCCUUCUUCCUACAGAUGCAAUUUGUAUUCUUUCCUGACACGGUUUGUUCUGUUGAGUGCUGAUGACGAUGAUGAACACGAUGAUGGUGAUGUUGAUGUUGUUGGGUUCGUGAUGAACGAUGUUGAACGAUUUUAGAUGAAUGAGUUGAGUUGGUUGAAGAUCUAUGAAGAUGAUGACGAAAGCUACGAAUCUGAAUCUCGGAUCCGACCCUUCCACGGGAUUAGGGUUUCAGGAGAUCUCGGUCGCAAGUUCUUUUCCAAUAUGAUUGGUUAGCAGAAUUUUGUGGGAAGUGGCGGUUUGAGUCGGUGAUGCAGCCUGUUUCUUCGGGAACCAGUUUGUUAUUCGUUUCGGUUGAGCUUUAUGCAGGGCUGCAGUUCUCAUAAGACCAUUACUUGAACAUUAUAGUAAAAUAUAUUCUUACUGCUUGCAGAGAUUUAAGCUUCAAUAUGUUUUCUGGUUCAAUCCCAAAUUCAAUCCAGGGAUUGAAAAGGCUAAAUUACAUGUUUAUGACAAAUAAUUCUUUGAGUGGACCGAUUCAAGACUGGAUACUUAACUUCAAAAUUAACAUAGAUUUAUCUUACAACAAUUUUACAAAGUCUUCUGCAACUAGCUGCCAGCAGCUGAAUCUGAACUUGGCUUCGAGCUAUUCUUCUUCAGCGGUCACUUCACCUUCAACGUUUUGUUUGAAGAGAAACCUUCCUUGUGCAGGAAAACCUCAAUCACACAAGGCACAACAUGAAAAAUCUCAGUAUUGCUGAAUUUUGGUUGAUUACCUUCCCACAAAUUAUGUAUGGAAUUACCUAUGACGAUAAUGCAAAGCAGACAAUAUGGUCAGAGUACAAGGUAUCUAUGAACCAAAAGGAAUCAAUGUUCCCUUCUUGCAGAUUUAUUUAGAGAGCCUGCUAUAGAAUUUGGGAGUUUUUCUAUCAUUUUUGCUCAGAAGAAUGCAGACCCAAAAUCACUUGCAAUCUUGAGGGUAACAUUUGGCGAACCUAAAAAGAAAUAUCACGAAGUUGCCAUACAAGACCAACAACAACACUCAAACAAAUUACUUUUUCAGCAGCUUCAGUCAUAUUUUAAUCAGCAGCAGCUUCAUGUUUACACUUUGUUGUCAAGACAACAGGUUCUUGACCUAAGAGAAGUAAGAGGAGGUGAUGAAAUGAGAUUGAAUCACCUUUGCAAAAAUCUAGGAGUGAAGCUGGUGGGAACAAAAGGAUUGGGGCUAAUUGUUGAUUCUCUCAUUGCUUCUAUUAAAGCCGAGAGGGGCAAUCGUGAACCUGUUUCAACUUCUAUGUCUCUAAAAGCAGGCAUUAUGAAGCGAAAGAUAAUUCGGUUUGAGCAUAAUUUCCUGAUAUUCAGUUAUAAUAUAUGGCUUCUCAAAUCAUAAGCUGCUCGAUUUGAUAUGAAAUUGUAGCUUAAUCAUAUCGAUUUACUCAGAAAGGCAAAGUUGGUGAAGAAAAGCAAUGGAUCCAUACGUUAAAGAAUCGGUUAGUUAGAGGUCCUUUCUCUCGGAUGGAUGUAAAAUACGAUGGCUCGUGUUGAACUGAUAUUGGCUUCUAAUUUGUAAUCCAGGAUGUUGUCACUUGUGAGGUUGAACAUUGUGAGAGAAGCCUCAGUUAUGUAGAACUUGACAUUUGAGGGGGCAAAGGUGAUGACUAGCAAGAAGAUGAAAGGGGAAGAAAAUGAAAUAGCAAAAAGCUUGAAGAAUAUGAACCUUAUGCAGUCACAUGAGGGUUGGAAAUUCAUGGCCAUGGUGACUGUCUUGCUAGGAUUUGGGUGAGGCUUGAAACUGACUUGUGAUUUGCGUUUUGAAGUUGUUUUCUUUUAACUGAAACUAUACGUGUAUGCAAAGGUAAUUUGGAUUGUUUAAUUAAAAUAACAUAUACAUGCUGAAAAAUCAUUUAAUGUCGUGUCCUGCCAAUUAUGAUUUUUCAAUAGCAUUUCAUUUCGUGUCCUAUUAAUGCCAGUAGUGCCACAAAGGUCUCAGGUGGUAGUAGUUUUGUAGAGAUUAUUCUAGAAAUUCUAUCUCUACUUCUUUUGAUGAAGGGAGAUAGAUAAAC